rnacentral:misc_RNA from 1 species
UUGGGGCUGGGUCACCUCCUUUCUAAGGAAAAGGAGGUGCCUAUCGUUCUUGUUAAGUCUUGAGAGGUAUUGGGGGGCGUUAGUUCAGCUGGGAGAGGGCCUGCUUUGCACGCAGGAGGUGAGCGGUUUGAUCCCGCUAGGGUCCAUUGGUGAGAGAUCACCAAGUAAGUCACAUUGAAAAUUGAAUAUGUAUAUCAAAUAAUAACAAGAAAAUAAACGGAAAUCUUUGUAGUAUUAUUAAGAGUUUAUGAGUGAAAGGUCAAAAAAUAAGUAUAAGUUUAUAAGGGUGCAUGGUGGACGCGAUGGCAUUAGGAGCCGAAGAACGAGGGGUCAAACGUGGAUAGUCGGUGGGUAAGUGUAAAUCAGGGGGGGUCCGAAGAUUUAAGAAUGGAAGAACCCAACAGGUUCCCCUGCCCCGCCAUGAAUUAAGGAUGUGAGGAGGAAGACGCAGGAAGGAAACAUCUAAGUAGCGCAGGAGAGAGAACGGG